rnacentral:rRNA from 1 species
UACGAAGGGGGCUAGCGUUGCUCGGAAUCACUGGGCGUAAAGCGCACGUAGGCGGAUCUUUAAGUCAGGGGUGAAAUCCUGGAGCUCAACUCCAGAACUGCCUUUGAUACUGAAGAUCUUGAGUUCGGGAGAGGUGAGUGGAACUGCGAGUGUAGAGGUGAAAUUCGUAGAUAUUCGCAAGAACACCAGUGGCGAAGGCGGCUCACUGGCCCGAUACUGACGCUGAGGAGCGAAAGCGUGGGGAGCGAACAGG